AACCACUGUAACAUAGGAUGUAACGACUCGAUCUGCUAGUAAUAAUAAUUCGUUGAGUUUACAUCACUUGUCCAAAGUGUUUUAGUCUAAUUUUAUUACUAGAGUGUGUGUCGCAUAUAAGUCGAUCAUACUCUUUCACAUAUUAAUUCGAUAUGAAACUAUUUGAGUGUUACGAGUGAUGUCACAAUCAUAGCACUGGCAGU
rnacentral:lncRNA from 1 species